rnacentral:rRNA from 1 species
UACAGAGGUCUCAAGCGUUGUUCGGAUUCAUUGGGCGUAAAGGGUGCGUAGGCGGCGCGGUAAGUCGGGUGUGAAAUCUCGGAGCUUAACUCCGAAACUGCAUUCGAUACUGCCGUGCUUGAGGACUGGAGAGGAGACUGGAAUUUACGGUGUAGCGGUGAAAUGCGUAGAUAUCGUAAGGAAGACCAGUGGCGAAGGCGGGUCUCGUGGACAGUUCCUGACGCUGAGGCACGAAGGUCAGGGGGAGCAAAACGGG